GACGAACGCUGGCGGCGUGCUUAACACAUGCAAGUCGAACGGAAAGGCCCUGCUUUUGUGGGGUGCUCGAGUGGCGAACGGGUGAGUAACACGUGAGUAACCUGCCCUUGACUUUGGGAUAACUUCAGGAAACUGGGGCUAAUACCGGAUAGGAGCUCCUGCUGCAUGGUGGGGGUUGGAAAGUUUCGGCGGUUGGGGAUGGACUCGCGGCUUAUCAGCUUGUUGGUGGGGUAGUGGCUUACCAAGGCUUUGACGGGUAGCCGGCCUGAGAGGGUGACCGGCCCCAUUGGGCCUACGAUAGGGCCCAGACUCCUACGGGAGGCAACAGUGGGGAAUAUUGCACAAUGGGCGGGAGCCUGAUGCAGCAACGCCGGGUGCGGGAUGACGGCCUUCGGGUUGUAAACCGCUUUCGCCUGUGACGCAGCGUGAGUGACGGUAAUGGGUAAAGAAGCACCGGCUAACUACGUG
rnacentral:rRNA from 1 species